rnacentral:tRNA from 1 species
UAUGUAGUUCAGUUGGUAGAGUGCCUGCCUGGAGUGUAGGAGGCCUGGGUUCUGAUCCCCAGGCCUGCAUAA